AAACACAAGCGCGUGCGAGGGGAAGGAUGGCGUCUGUUUCCAGGGCCGUGUGGAGCCUGCAGAGGCCGGUCUCGAACGGCACGAUGACCAGGGAGGCGCCCUCCGGCCGCCGAUCGGUCGCGGCGCCGAGGUCCCGGCGCGCCAAAGCCGUCGUGGUUCGCUCCGAGUCCGGCUCGGGACGCGGCGAGCAUUGCGCCCCUGCCAGGGCCGUCGCCGACGUCGCGCCGAUUCAGGCGACGAAGAAGGUAACUGCGUGCAACUCUUACAAACUGAAUUGUUGGAAGCAGCCAAUUGGCGAAUUCACUUGGUUCGGCAGGAAGUUGCUUUUAGGCGCGUACAUCAGCACACACACCAGUACACCAGCACACGUAAAGUGAUAAAGGUUCGAUGCUUUUCAUAAAAGAUAAAAGAUAAAAGUUUUUUUUAUAAUGAACAAGAAAAAAGGUUUGAUUUUGAUGGUUCCAUUUGACUUGGACCAGUUUGGGAACAGUUCCGUUACAGCACCUUUGGUUCAACUUGUGUCUGCUUUUAUUCAAAAAAAAAAAGAACGGCGGCCCAAAACUUUUUCGACCAGUUUAGGAACAGUUCCGUUAGAGCACCUUUGGUUCAACUUUGUGUCCAUCAGAACGGCAGGCCAAAACUUUUCCAAAAAGAACUUCCGACCAUAAAGAAGCGUUGUAGGCUCACAGCCACAGCACUGUGAACAUAUAGCAGACUACAAACCGUUAAGUGCAAGUUUUUAACUGGCCUACGAGGGGCUCAUUCCCCCUUCUUCCUCCCAUCCUCUCUUUCUCUUCUUCCUCCUCCUCCUUUUUUCUCUUCUUCCUCUUACAUCCAUGGUUAAAAUUUUCAUGGGCUGCGCGGGGUAGGGGCUCUAGGCUUGGGCAUUUCUCAGGCUGGGUCGGGCUUUAGCCGGGCUAAAAAAAGUCCAGUUCAUUUCGGAUUGAAAAUUCGUACCCACAAUUAUCCCAUAGGCGUUCUCGAGCUAAUUUUUCGAACCAGGCCACUCAAUUUCCGUUCUUUAUAGUUGAAAAAUAAAUCAAAUAAAUUGUCUAGGUGGGUUUUGGCCGGCCUGAAUUUUUUUAGGCUUGGUUUUAGCUGACCACGCUCAGUCCCAUAGGAAGCAUGGGCGGGCCAAAUCCUAGCAGGCUCGGGCCGAGCCCACAGGCCGGGCCAAGCCAAAAAUCUCAGGCAACCCCGCCCCUAGGCAUAAUAUUAAGUUUUCCUCCUGUUUCUAUGAGUUUUUAAAUAUCGCUCAAAGGUGAUUGAAGUCUAGUGUUUGAAUUACUAGUUAUCGUUCGCCAACAAAGAAUUGUAGUUGAACGAAUCUGACCAGUGGGUACGGUUGAUCUAGAAUAAGGAUACUAUCAUGGGCCUUCUCUUAUCGUCUCCAUCUUCUUUGACAAGGCCCAGCACCACUCCAAAGUCCAAACAGUCCGCGCGUUGCCUUUGUUCAGCGCAAACGCAGCGCAGAAUCACGGCGCCCGCAUUACUACUCGCCCUCGUGAGCCAAGCAUGGUUCAGCAUUAUUGUUAAGAUCAAAGAUGAUACUAAGCAAUAUAUUAUUGUUUUAAGCAUAUUGAUAGUAUCCAAAUGAUAUCUGACCAUUACACACAACACACUACAAAAAUCACUAACAUGUGUAAGUGAAGACUAUAGAUGUUUGGAGACUUCAAAAUUUACUCUAUAAGAACUAGGUUUGACAUAUUGAUCGAAUGCCAAGUUACUUUGGGCAAAUCAUAAUCAUAAUGAUACCACAAUGUUAAUAAUAUAUUAAUACUUAAUGAUCAUGGAGCCAAUAAAAAACUCACGAGCUGGUCUUUUAAGAAAACUAGGUAAAAAUGAGGCUCCACUCGGUUUGUUUUAAAGGUUGAGCCGAACCAAAUCAAGCCAAGCUAUGAACAAGUCGAGCCAACUCGCAAAGCUUGAGCACUUUGCUAGCAUUAAUCAUAACCCUAUGAACACCUAUAGGAAAUUGGGUUAGUAGAUUUUUAAAAUUGACAAAGUCGCCAUAUGUAUCUUGAUAUUGAUGACAACAUCGCCUAAUGAAAAGUAGCCAUAUUAAUGUGCCAAACCUGAUUGUAUCUCUUGUGGACACGGGAUAUAACCAACUCCGAUGACCAGCCAAGUUAUUUUGCUAUCGAGCGAAUUUCAUAAACAAAUUUAAAAGUACUUUUUUGUUUAAGUCAUCAGAAAUUCACACCAUAUAUCGCAAAAUGUCAAAACCACAUUUUUAAAUAUAAAUAUGGAAUAGAAGUUGUAGUUAUAAUUCCUUCUAUUCCGACGCUCUCCUUGCCACUGAAUCUGCCCUUUUCCGGCAUAUCAACUACUAUCUACAUGUAAGCAAACAAAAAAAGGCAUAGGCACAUGAGAGUGACGAGUAUGCCUGCUGGAAGUGAAGGCAAAUGCUUUAAAAGUGUGGUUUCGUGAUAUGAUGAAAAGAUAUGCAAGUAAAAGUGUGACUGCCUUAAAACUGUUGCUUAGAAGUGCGAUGCUGUGAUGGAGCUGUGACAAAAAGUAGCUAGUUCUUGUAAGAUUUUCUCUUGAUCGUUUCCUCCCAUUAACAUUUGUUUCUGAACUCUAAGCAUGCUUUUAUUAUAAUUUAUAACCUAUCCGUGGCAUUCAACUCAACUAUAGCAAGAACCACGAAUGGAAAAAUAAAAAACAUAGUAAUGUUUUUUUAGAAAAACAUAGUAAUGUUUUUUUAGAAAAACAUCUGUGAUAUUGGCGUGGUGAUCUAGUCACUGUAGUUCAAUAGCAGCUAGGUUCAUAGGUCUAAAUACUGCUGAAUCAUUUCAUUAUUUGGAAUCUUUGGAGCAAGACAAACUGCCGCAUGACUACCAAUAUAGAGUGACGCCGCCUAUUUUGUAGCGAUUCUGUUUACCUUAGAUAAGGAUAAUAUAAACUGCUGCACACUGGAUCGCUCGUCAAGCCCAUGGUUUCGCCAAAACCAGAGAAAACAUAUAGCACUUGAGCUCUGCCCAUGCAAGGGAUUUUUUUUCCCAUGGUUUGGUACGUGCAUCAGGAAUGUGAACGGAAUUGGGCAUGGAAUCCACACGAGCCAGAAUGCCAGAUGCAUCUUGGCAAGCCUAGCAAUUAUUUGAGUACAGCAUGCCGGUAGAUAGGCUGCUCGACCGUGCAUCCUGCAAGUGGCCAAGGUUUUGCUGCAUGGGCGCCACCACGUAGGGACAUGUUAUACGUCGCAUUUUUUGGUUGGAGCUAAUCAAUCAACUUUUCAGUAAAAAUAAUACCUCCAUGCUCAUUCAUAGAGAUUCCUAGAUGGUCUUAACUUGCACUAGGUGUUGCCUGCAGCAGAGCUCAUUCGGCUAUUGUCUUGUCACUACCAAACCCUUAGACCAACAGAGUGUUAACUGCAAUCCACGCUCCUGUUUGUGGAUUUGCAUUCUGACGCAUCAUGUGUUCAUUGUUUGGUGCCCAAAGAAAUCACUUGCAUAGAAAACAAGGCCUCUCCACUUCCCCACAAAUUCUACCGAGAAUAAUCAGGGGCAAAUUCUGGCAUAAGGCAGACACCAGACAAAGAUGCUGAAAGGUACUCGUGCAAGUUUUCUGCAGUUGUUUUGUCUGAAAUUUGUCCAAUGUUUGCCUCCCAGGGCUUGCAUCUUUCGACUUCAAUAGUGUGUUUGGGUUUGGGAUGAGGUCAUGAGGCCCCAAAAAAUCUCAUUGAUUUAGACAGAUGUUAAAAGUUGUAUACAAGUGGUACAUCGUACAUGAUAAUUUCGCUAAAGCAAGGGUAGUAGGUGACAAUUCCGCUGUUCGGACCCAUCUCAUUUUUUAGGUGAAAUAGUAGGGGAGACGUACCUGAAAAUUAUUCCUCCAUAAUUUCACUUUGAAUGAUAUGUGAUAGAGGGGCAUUAAUAUAAUAAUUUAAACAAAUCUAGUGAUGCCUGGGGAUUUUUUUUCCAGGAAGAAUAGAGACUUCAACUGCAAAAAAGUUGUAGAAACAAACACAUUUAGCCCUCAACUCAGCAGGUCUGACAAAUUCUUGUGGUUAUAAGAUCUUAGAGAAAAAGAAGAGAUAAAUUUGAAACCUAUCUCAGAGUGUCAUGAACCAUAAACAACUCCCAUCUGAUGCCGUCUGCAACGUACUUUGAACUGAAGAGCUAAGAAAGAGUAAUUAGCCAUAGACACAACUCUAGUCAAGAUAGAGUUUGGGCUAAAACAACUUCAUCUUAGAAAUCGUUAUGAUGCAGACUAUUUCAGUUUGGGCUGCAUUAUUGAAGUGUACAAUAAUAAUAGGUAAAAUUAAAAUAAACAAGUUUCAUGAAUUAUUUGAACAACUCAUUGGAUGUUCUUGUUGCAGUCAUCUGGUGUGGCAUAGCAUAAUUCAUUCUCGGAAACGAUUCAUUUGAUCAAAUGCAUGAAUCCGAGAGUUAAGUAAUUUCUGUUGCAUAGGAUAGUUUUGCAUUGAGGAAAGCUGAGACAACCAACUGUUCGUUGGAUGUAUACUUGUUGCAUUGCAGCCAUCCGGUGUUGCAGUGCAAAUCCACAAGGCUAAGAUAGCUGACAAUUUAUUUUUUCAAACAUUUAAUUCUUCUUUUUUCCCAACCUGGAAGUUCAUUUUGAGUUGCCCAUUUGAUUGAAACAUGGAACACGUUUUGCAUAGAUUUAUUUUUCGUAGGUAAAGGUUUUGCAGCGAAGAUCUAGUUUCCGUGAUUUUCAACGGACGCACUCCGUUUUUCCUUGUGGAUACGUAAGAACAACGACGGUCCACUUGAGUCACCGAUAGAAAGCUCCGAACGGUGUACCGCUCUCCUUUGCCGACGCCGUCCGUCAGCUCACGAAAACGUGACGGACUGACGGGCAUGGGCAUGAAUUGCCCCAUUUAACGAAACUUAACCCUGUUCACACAAUCACAUAGGAUGAAUUCGGAUAAAAUUUUAAGGACUGGCCCCAGAAAUUUUAGUUUCUCUCUUCCCAUCUACACAUGGAUGUGAGCAGCGUGGUUCACCAGGCUCGCACAACGGACGAAGCCACGGCAGAGCGGCUCGCGCGCAGCCGUGCACGGCGCGGCAAAACAGCCAUCGGCGCCUCUUUCUUCUGCAUCGCCGGGGCACAUGCGCGCGCGCCCUGCCGGGGGCGGGGAACGGGAUACCAGGCGGGGACGGCCGCGCGCCCGCGGGUUUGCGGCAGCGUUGCCCCUGCCCGGAUGGUUGUUGUCGCGGCGUGGUGGCCGCGCACGGAACCGCGGUCGCGUGUCAAGCCAAUGUCCCCGGCCGCUGCGCCACACCGAUCCAAGACUUGGAUGGACAAAAAAAAUCACAGGAGCACUCACUGGCUGUCGUACAAAAUUCAUCAACACUUUUGGAUUUCGAACUUUGAAUUUGUUUAGGCUAGACGAACGCAGAUUGGGCCGAAUCUUUUCGGAACGAAAAGAAGAAGAAGAUGAAGAAGAAACAAACAACCAGUGAGAUUGACAGCGGGGUCCGAGUCCAACUCCGAGCUGGAUGACGUGAACGAUCAGACUGCGCGUUACGCUCGGCAAGAAAAGAAAGACAAAGACGGCCGCCAUAUCCAUGGAUCCCUGCCGAGACCGUGGACGGGCGGGCGUGUAGCUGAGCUGCGCAACGGAUAGCGUUGUCCGUCGUGGCAGGAUGGGUGGUGCUCGUUCCGUUCCGUCCGCGUUGGACGCCGGGGUUUCGCAGUCGCAGCCAUGCACGAUAUAUGGCCUGCCGGCGCACGUGUGCUUUAUUGACACUCCACCCUGAUCCGGCCUUAUCUAAUUCUUAUUACUGUGCUAGCCAAAUCCAAGAACCACCCGAGAAAUUCAGACUGCAACACAGUUAAAAAAAAAAGGAUGAAACAGCUUGGGCAAAGUGCUUUUGGUUGCGGCAUCUCCCGGUGCAUCACCGAAAACAAAUUUGGGUAGCGGAGAGGUGUACAAUUUUGGUUGGAGCAUUAUAUUGCUCCCCAACAAGAUAAAGCACUUCAUGAAACGGAAAGGGCGCCCCCACCGUGUCUUGCACGUAGCGCGUCACGUAUGCCGGCGGCACGUGCGGGAGCGAUUCAGUUCCAGAGCUUUUCUGGGAAUGGAACAAGGGUGACGGGGUUGUUCUGGGUCUCUUUGAUUGUGUCGCACUCAUUUUACUAAGGUCAGUUGGGAGUUUUAUGACACUAAAUUCAAUAUAAACAUCAGCAAAAUUGCUAGCUUAGCAAGAUAAUUAAUAGAGGGAGUUUUAUAAGAUGAGAGAGGAGUUUCAUCCCCAUAACACUUAUCUGGCACAGUUAGCUAGUUCUUAGUAUAGGUAACUGCGUACUGAGAAUGGCCUUAAGUAAUUCAGUUUUGAAACUUCAGUUCAUAUGUUCGUAUCAAGCAGUUCUAUUGAUGUGGCUAUAUAAAGUGUUAAAUCUUUCAAGGGAUCUCACUUAAAUAUACACUAUUAAAUACCGCAGAACUUCCGACAAAAAGCAGCUCGCACUCGGUUUUGGGAAAAGAUAAAAAAAAAAGACAGCCUGCGCAGCGGUGUUUCCGAAAACAAAAAACAAAAAUGCGAGAAGCGCACAAAAAGAAACAGAUUGUUGGUUGGAGCAUCAUCGCUCACAACAAAUCUACCGUAACACUUGCGCAAGCGAUGGACACCAGCUGGCUAAGCUUUUUGUGUCGAUAUGGAACAGAAAGGGGCACUGUAGUGUUGGUACCUUGCACGUAUGCGUCCGUUACAUGUUCGACGAACGUGAGUCACCCGUCGUCGUAGAUGAGACCACGCCAAUUCAGUUCGAUGAGAGCCUUUUUUUAAUUCUUCUGUGGAGAAGACAACAGCAACCGUGACGUGUUGGAUUGUUGUACGCGCCGCGCCAUUAGCUUUUUCACUAGCCUGAGACCACUUCCAACUUUGCAAACUUGCUCGUAUUACGUGUAAAUCUCAUCCGAGCUGGGAUUAUGCCCAAGUGCCCAACCAAUUUUGUGCACGCACGUUUCACUUUUAAUGUUUGCGGUGGGCUGCUGACCCUGGGUUUGUGGCCUGUGAAGAAAAAGCGUUAACUAGAUGCUUGCAAGCUUCUUCAUCACACACUGUUCGUUGCGCUCGUCGCCCUGUCACCAACCGGUCCCUUCAGGUCGAUCACACCACCGGUUCGCCACGUCAGUGUCUCGCUUCACUCGCUAUAAAUAGAGCCCGGCGCCGGCUCUGCUUCAUCACCAAUUGUGAUCUCUGCUAGCUACCGUACCUCCAGUGUGUGCUCGUGCUAACAGCAGCAAUGGCGCCCGCUCAAUGUGUGGCCUCGCAGAGGGUGUUCCACUUCGGCAAGGGCAAGAGCGAGGGCAACAAGACGAUGAAGGAGCUGCUGGGCGGCAAGGGCGCGAACCUGGCGGAGAUGUCGAGCAUCGGGCUGUCGGUGCCGCCGGGGUUCACGGUGUCGACGGAGGCCUGCCAGCAGUACCAGGAGGCGGGGCGCUCCCUGCCGCAGGGCCUCUGGGACGAGAUCAUCGACGGCCUGGCGUGGGUGGAGGAGGAAAUGGGCGCCCGCCUCGGCGACCCGCAGCGCCCGCUCCUGCUCUCCGUCCGCUCCGGCGCCGCGGUAAUGCCAUGGCCAUGCCAUCCUUGUUCGUUUGGUUCAUUCGCCUGCUCGCUUCUGAUCGCUUUGCCUUUGUGUUAUGUGAUAUGCGCAGGUGUCGAUGCCCGGGAUGAUGGACACGGUGCUCAACCUGGGACUCAACGACGAGGUGGCCGCCGGGCUCGGCGCCAAGAGCGGCGAGCGCUUCGCCAACGACUCCUACCGCCGCUUCCUCGACAUGUUCGGCAACGUCGUGAGUAUCUCCUGCCCAUCUGUCCUAAUGACUCAUCAGCGCCUCGUCGGAUCGGAGACGAUCUCGCAUGUUAAGCUAGCUUGGUUGUUGAUCACUCUACUCGCUUACUUGUAUGACUAGCUAGCUUGGUAGGUAGCUUAGCUAGGCGGCCUAUGCCUAGUUGUGCGUGCAUCGACCCAUGAUCGCUUCCGCGGGUGACCCGCGUCCGUCCGAGACGACGGCGGCUGCGUCGCACGCUUGCGGCCGCCGCCGGGGGCCACCAGCGUCGGGGGUUUCGUCUGUUUUGCCAGGCAGGACGCAGGACGGUGGGAGAGUACUUGCAGCACAGUGCUGUGUUUUCUUGGGUUAACCGAACGUGUGGGGAUCAUUCGGCACGGUUAAGCCAGUGAACGUGCUCGAUGCCCCGGCGUUGGAGUUAACCAGUGAAGUGAUUGGGCCAAGCACCUUUGCUUUUUGCUGCCAAUAAUAGGCAAGGUCCAAAUCAGAGAAGCUUUUCUACCUUUUUUAUUUCUUCUUAAAAAGUAAAAAAAAUUUGCGGACCUAAAAAGAAUAAAAAAUAUUUUCCAACGCAAAUGGAGGAAGGAAGUUGACGGUUCAAGAAAGGAACACGGCGACGGCAUCGUUGUAUCAGGUAAGAGGAAUUCGCAGGUGUGUGCAUAUUCCCCUGCAGAAAUUUAACAUGGACGGAGCAGUAUAUACAAGGUCAUUGUCAGUGUUCAAGCUCAUGCUAGACAGCCCUGUACGGUAUGUCGGUUGUCGGAGGUACGCCUCGUUUGUGGGGCUGAAGGACCGAUGACGGCGGCGCCUGUCUUCACCAGCAGAGUUUGACACUCUUUCCACCCGGAAAAUGGGUACAAGACGAUGAGGAAAAGAAAGUUUCUUGAAACGCCAUAGAAAAAUAUUUUUUAAAAACAAUGAGCAUUUAAUAUGGUCAGUUGGGGGCUGAGGGGAGAAGGUUGGUUGGUUCAACCUGCACACACAAGUGAUGACAUCUGCUAUGGAGAUGCUCAACCAGAGUUGGUUUUGGUCAUCUGUAAUUAGUUUUUUCAAUGACACUUCUAACUAGAAUGCUCAAACAGAGUUUUGUUUGUACUAUAAGAUAAUUGUUCCUCAGCAGAGCCUUUCUUUACCACCAGGUCAUGGACAUUCCCCACGCACUGUUCGAGGAGAAGCUUGAAGCCAUGAAGGAAGCCAAGGGGGUGAAGAACGACAAUGACCUGACUGCCUCUGACCUCAAAGAGCUGGUGGCUCAGUACAAGGAGGUCUACGUCGAAGCCAAGGGGGAGCCAUUUCCCUCAGGUAUGCCCACCGCAGCCUCACCCUCAGUUGAUAAUAUCUGUAUGAAAAAAAAAAUUCUCUUGAAACUAAAGCUGUUUCUUUGCAUCAAACUUAUGCAUGCCUUUACCUUGUUUUGUCUUGCAGAUCCCAAGAAGCAGCUUGAGCUAGCAGUGUUGGCUGUGUUCAACUCGUGGGACAGCCCCAGGGCCAACAAGUACAGGAGCAUUAACCAGAUCACUGGUCUGAAAGGCACUGCUGUGAACGUGCAGUCCAUGGUGUUUGGCAACAUGGGGGACACUUCUGGCACUGGCGUGCUCUUCACUAGGAAUCCUAGCACUGGAGAGAAGAAGCUGUAUGGCGAGUUCCUGGUGAAUGCUCAGGUAUGGACCAGUUUCUGUUGUGCCUAUUUGAUUCACAAUCUUAGCUGCCCUGUUUGAUCAAGUUAUUUUACACAAGUUAUAUUAAACAUGCAGUAGUAUCAACGAAUCUGUAUAAUGUAUGUGUGUUUCUGGUUCAGGGUGAGGAUGUGGUUGCUGGAAUCAGAACCCCGGAGGAUCUUGAUGCCAUGAAGGCACAGAUGCCGGAUGCUUAUGUAGAGCUCGUUGAGAACUGCAAGAUACUGGAGAGCCACUACAAAGAAAUGAUGGUACCUUAUUAUUGCAUUUUCAACCUUUACUGCACCAUUUAUUUUUGAGCUAUAUUUAAACAUGAUCUCUUUAAUAAUUUGCAACAUAAGCGCACUUGAAUACUGGUGUUGCUUCAAUGUGUUCUGUAGAUUGGCAUUGUGUCUCUGUUACUGCCAUUGGCCAUGAUCUCAGACUUGCUUGCUUUUUAUGCAUGAUGCAGGACAUUGAAUUUACCGUUCAGGAAAAUAGGCUCUGGAUGUUACAGUGCAGAUCAGGAAAACGUACAGGCCAAGGGGCGGUAAAGAUUGCUGUGGACAUGGUUAAUGAGGGUCUUGUUGAGCGCCGUCAAGCGAUUAAGAUGGUAGAGCCAGGCCACCUGGACCAGCUUCUCCAUCCUCAGGUAAUGGAUAACCAUGAGGCCCGUAAACUGAUUGUGCCUUACUUGAAAUUCAGUACUCUUAUAAGUUUGGCCUUACUUGGAAUUCACUUUAUAAGUUAAGUACUGGAUAUGUAUUAACAUCACUGUUUUAAUCUUGUCCAAUGAAAACCAGUUUGAGAACCCAUCAGCAUACAAGGAUCAAGUAAUCGCUACAGGCUUACCAGCUUCACCUGGGGCUGCUGUGGGCCAAAUUGUAUUUACUGCAGAGGACGCUGAAGCAUGGCAUGCCCAAGGGAAAGCUGCUAUCCUGGUAAACACCAUUUUAUCCUCAUUUUUAAGAAAAAAAGGUCUUCUGCAGUUUUUGUGUCAUUUUGAUCUGGACUUUGUGCUUCGAUGAAAAGAUCUGUUAAUUGAGCAAAACUGGUCUAUUUACUGGACCUGUUAGAAUAGUUGCUUGCAGAGUUACAGUCACAAAAAUCCCACUUAUCACAGACAGCCAUUUUUGAAAUGCAUAUGGAAGCUCCAAGUCGUAUCGCUUCAUCUUUUGCAUUCUGAGAAUUUUUUCUUUGCAAAUAUAUAGGUGAGGACAGAGACCAGCCCAGAGGAUGUUGGUGGCAUGCACGCAGCUGUUGGAAUUCUUACAGCAAGAGGUGGGAUGACCUCUCAUGCUGCUGUGGUAGCACGUGGUUGGGGAAAAUGUUGUGUCUCAGGAUGCUCAAGCGUUCUCGUAAAUGAUGCUGAGAAGGUGAAUAGAAUUCUUGUUUGCACAUCUUCUUCUUUGUAGAAGGUGACAUGCCAUGUUAAAGUUUGUAACAGGAUUAUGACAUUCUUUGUAGAUGUGCUCCGUCCGCCAUUUUUAAGUUCUUAUUAACGAGAUUUUGAGGAUGUAGAUGUUUCCUUACUUUGCUAUGUCUACAUUUACAGUCUGUAGUGAUUGGAGACAAGGUGAUGCAUGAAGGUGAGUGGCUAUCACUGAAUGGAUCUACUGGUGAAGUCAUCGUGGGGAAGCAGCCACUUUCCCCACCAGUCCUCAGUGGUGAUCUGGGAACCUUCAUGUCCUGGGUAGAUGAAGUUAGGCAACUGAAGGUAAAUUCCUAGAAAUAACAAAUAUGUAAUAUUAGUUAAAACAUGGAUACAAACUGUUGGAAGUAGAAACCAACAAAAAGGGCAUCAGAUUAUUUAUUCAGACAGGCCAAAGCUAGUCAACCCCACUACACAUUUUUCAACAGAAAUGCUUAUUCGUACAUAUGAUCCACCUUCCAGGUUUUGGCUAAUGCGGAUACCCCUGAGGAUGCACUGACAGCAAGAAACAAUGGGGCAGAAGGAAUUGGACUAUGCCGGACGGAGCACAUGGUAUGUAUUUUAGUUACUGUCCAAUAUCUUUUGGGUGGGAUCUUGGAAAACUUACUCUUUCUUGAAUUCCUUCGUCGAACAGUUGGGUAAACUUUAAGGACCUCCCGUUCUAGUCUCAUGUUCUCCUUUUCUGCACUUUGGCAGUUCUUUGCUUCGGAUGAGAGGAUUAAGGCUGUGAGGCAGAUGAUUAUGGCUCCCACACUUGAACUGAGGCAGAAGGCACUAGAUCGUCUUUUGCCUUAUCAGAGGUCUGACUUUGAAGGCAUUUUCCGUGCUAUGGAUGGUAUGUGAAAAUCACGAUGCAUUCAUUUACAUGCUCUCCAAUUGAACUGGAUGCACUAGUGUUACUGAACAUAACAAGAGUAAGCAACCUUCUUAAAUAGACAACAUUGACUACUAAUGUAAAGUGAAAAGGUAGACAAGUUUUAAACCUUAGGAUGCAAAAUACUUCAAAAAUAAGAACGAAAUUGGGCCAGUAACAUAUUGCAUCAAUUAUUUAACUUGGUAACAUAAAGUUCUGCUAUGAUUUAUCCAUUAGUUUUUUUUAAUCUUUUAUAGCGAGUGGUAUAUGUACAUGUUUCAUGGAAACAGAUAUAGAAUUAAACUACUAGAAUAAAUUUUAACAUGUAUUGUAGUUAGUUCCACAGUAUGUAUUUUAAAGUGCGGAAUGGAUUUGAACAUUAUUUUUUUUGCAUUUCAGGGCUUUCAGUGACUAUUCGGCUUCUGGACCCCCCACUUCAUGAGUUUCUUCCUGACGGGAAUGUUGAAGACAUUGUGCGUGAAUUAUGUUCUGAAACUGGAGCCAAUCAGGAGGAAGCCCUUGCAAGAAUUGAAAGUCUUUCAGAAGUAAAUCCAAUGCUUGGUUUCCGUGGGUGCAGGUUGGUUUUUGUGCUCCGUUUAAAUCAGUCACCCCCCCUCCUUGAUCCAUUUGGUUCCCUUGUUAGUGAAAUAUUAAAAAGAAUAAACUCUGUAUAUUUACCUCGACUAAUAUUGGAACUGCUAAAAUUCCAGGCUCGGUAUAUCAUAUCCUGAGCUAACAGAAAUGCAAGCCCGUGCCAUCUUUGAAGCUGCUAUAGCGAUGACCAACCAGGGUGUUCAAGUUUUCCCAGAGAUAAUGGUUCCUCUUGUUGGGACACCUCAGGCAUGCAUCUUUAUUUCCUUAUUUGUGCAUAUGGUAUCUCUGCAGUUCAUGGUGUUCAAAAUGACAAAAUCAAAAUUGAAUAAACAACCAAGUUCUGUACACAUGUAAUUUACGAUUUUAUGCAAACAUCAAGUUGACCUACACCCAAUUUCCCACCAAAUUCAUUUCUUGAAAUUUUCUCUCUCGAAUUCUAAGUUUAUUGCUUUCACUUGAUUUUUCCUUCAGACAUCUGACAUUUGACUUUUGCAGGAACUGGGGAAUCAAGUGGCCCUUAUCCGUGAAACUGCUAACAAAGUUUUCGCUGCUCUGGGUAAAACCAUUGACUACAAAAUUGGAACUAUGAUUGAAAUUCCGAGGGCAGCUCUAGUAGCUGAUGAGGUAGGAAGCAUCUAACUCCCUUCAGAAUAAUCUUAAAUAUUGCUGUUUAGGUUUAGCUUUUAGAUCAUAUUUUUCAUGAAUGGUUUAGUAAUAGAACCCCGGAUUUUUACUCUAAAACAUGUGAAUAGUAACUGAUGGUAUGAAUUUAUUAAGUGCAAAUAAUAAGUUUAUCCUCUAAUUUAAAAAAAAAACUGACAUUCUUGUUUUGGUUUCACAACCUGACAGAUAGCAGAGCAGGCUGAAUUCUUCUCUUUUGGAACGAACGACCUCACACAGAUGACAUUUGGCUACAGCAGGGAUGAUGUGGGGAAGUUUCUUCCCAUUUAUCUGUCUCAGGGUAUCCUCCAACAUGAUCCCUUUGAGGUAAAAUUUUAGCAGCUCUCACCCUUCAGUUUUAGAUGAUAUACCUGCAUUUUCAUCAUCCACUCUUGUUUUUCAAGGAAUAUUUCCAUCAUCCACAGAUGCGAGCAUCUCAUGUCCUCUAGGCAUUUUUCAUGUCCUUGACUUUUGGUUACGUGCAUGCUCUGGUAAAAUUCAACCUAGUAACUUGCCCAUUGAAUGUUGAUAAACAUAUCAGGUGCUGGAUCAGAGGGGAGUGGGCGAGCUGGUUAAGUUUGCUACAGAGAGGGGUCGCAAAGCUAGGCCUAACUUGAAGGUUAGUUUUUGGGACUUGUGGACAUUGGCUCUUUUCCUUAGAAAUCAUGGUUUCAUUGUUUGGUGCUGUCUGCAAACAGGUGGGCAUCUGUGGAGAACACGGUGGGGAGCCUUCGUCAGUUGCAUUCUUUGCAAAGUCGGGGCUGGAUUAUGUUUCUUGCUCGCCUUUCAGGUUGGUCAAGUGAUAAACUCAAGAUACAACUCCCAGAUUCAUAACUGUAGCAAAACCUUAACUACUUUUUAUGAAAUAUCUUGUGCAGGGUUCCCAUCGCCAGGCUAGCUGCAGCUCAGGUGCUCGUCUGAGGGCACCGCCUCAUCGGCAACCGGAUCACCUGCUGUUGGUGCGUCUGGUGAAGAAUACUAAUACAAAGCCAUGGAACGGUGGAACUCUGCUGCCUGGCAAAGGCCGUUGUAUCUUGUAUGAAGUCUCCGUGCGCGUGCGCAUGUAAGACUUAAUGUGUGGUUUUCUGCAUUUUCCCUUGAACUACCAUGGUAAUGUAGUACCAAACAGAGAUGAUGACGAAGAACAAUCGAAUAAAUUAAUUGGCGAUUAC
rnacentral:lncRNA from 1 species